GAUGAACGCUGGCGGCGUGCCUAAUACAUGCAAGUCGAGCGAACAGACGAGGAGCUUGCUCCUCUGACGUUAGCGGCGGACGGGUGAGUAACACGUGGAUAACCUACCUAUAAGACUGGGAUAACUUCGGGAAACCGGAGCUAAUACCGGAUAAUAUAUUGAACCGCAUGGUUCAAUAGUGAAAGACGGUUUUGCUGUCACUUAUAGAUGGAUCCGCGUCGCAUUAGCUGGUUGGUAAGGUAACGGCUUACCAAGGCGACGAUGCGUAGCCGACCUGAGAGGGUGAUCGGCCACACUGGAACGGAGACACGGUCCAGACUCCUACGGGAGGCAGCAGUAGGGAAUCUUCCGCAAUGGGCGAAAGCCUGACGGAGCAACGCCGCGUGAGUGAUGAAGGUCUUCGGAUCGUAAAACUCUGUUAUUAGGGAAGAACAAAUGUGUAAGUAACUAUGCACGUCUUGACGGUACCUAAUCAGAAAGCCACGGCUAACUACGUG
rnacentral:rRNA from 1 species